UACGUAGGGUGCAAGCGUUGUCCGGAAUUAUUGGGCGUAAAGAGCUCGUAGGCGGUCUGUCGCGUCGGAUGUGAAAAUCCAGGGCUCAACCCUGGACCUGCAUUCGAUACGGGCAGACUAGAGUUCGGCAGGGGAGACUGGAAUUCCUGGUGUAGCGGUGAAAUGCGCAGAUAUCAGGAGGAACACCAGUGGCGAAGGCGGGUCUCUGGACAGUUCCUGACGCUGAGGCACGAAGGUCAGGGGAGCAAACGGG
rnacentral:rRNA from 1 species